rnacentral:lncRNA from 1 species
UACAUGGCUGGGUACGGAAAGGAGAGAGCAAACACUCACUAAGCCCUGCUUUUCCCAGAAAAGAUGUCAGGGCAGCCCAUAGGGGGACAUAGGGUGACAAAUUAGCAGCAGUGGGUGAGGGAUAAGGUCAGAGUGCAGGAGGGCACAGAGAGCAGAGCCCGGCACAAGGCUAGUGCCAGCCCCAUGCCAUGGGCGCCAUGGCCUGCUGCACGGGCGGGCUC